CAGCCACAUGAUCUCUGUGGAAACCACAUGCUGAUUUCUCUCCUUGUUUAAAACCUGCCAGAAAUUUCCCAUGGGGCUUAGACUCUUGACCCGGUUUACGGACCUCUGACCUUGACUCAGCCUGUGUCACACACUCUACCUGUCUCAUGCCAUUCUCUUGCAUGCCUGGCAGUUUCUUUCUUUUCUUAAGGUCUUUUUGUUUUUCUUUUUGGAGGAGGAAAAGUUUAUUUGCUCAUGGUUACAGAGGUUCAGUCCAUGAUCUUUAUGGCCCUCUAAUUCCAUUGCUCUGGGCUUAAGGUGAGGCAGAACAUCAUGACAUAAGGACACGGUUAAAAAAGCUGUCAGCUCAUGGCAGCCAGGAAACAGAGAGAUCAGGUGCAGGUGUUCUCUGAGAAUCUUUGUAUUGUUCAUUCCUUCUGCUGGGAUGCUGUUCCUCCUGCUCAUUUCUUGACAGUUGUAUCUGAGUUUCAAUGUCAGCUCCUCUGGGAUACUUUGACUGACCUCAGUCACCACUCUUAGGCCACCCACCUUUGAAUCUGUGUGUACUUACCACCAUCUGUUGAUUUAUGAGUUCACGAUCUGUCUUCCUUUGCAUGAGCAGAAACCUCAUAGGUUGUUUUUUUGUUGUGUUGUGUUGUGUGGUUUUUGUGGUGCUGAGGGUUGAACCCAGGGCCUCGCACUUGCUGGGCAAGUACUUUACCAGUCCUUUUUCUUUUAUUCUGAGGCAGUCCUAAGGCUGGCCUUGAACUUAAGAUCCUUCUGUGUGCGGGUCACUGAGAUCACAGGCGUGUACCAGUGCACCCAGCUUCCAUUUGUUUUUUAUUAGCAUAUGCUAGUUCCCAGAAAGUUUCCAGACACAGUAGGAUUUUUUUUUUUUAAACACUCAACGAUCCUACAUGUUAUGCCAUCAUCACCCAAA
rnacentral:lncRNA from 1 species